GAUGAACGCUAGCGGCAGGCCUAAUACAUGCAAGUCGAGGGGCAGCGGGAGUAGCAAUACUUGCCGGCGACCGGCGCACGGGUGCGUAACACGUAUGUAAUCUACCCUUUACUGGAGAAUAGCCCGAAGAAAUUCGGAUUAAUGCUCCAUAAUAUCACUGGAAGGCAUCUUUUGGGGAUUAAAGUUCCGACGGUAAAGGAUGAGCAUGCGCGAUAUUAGCUAGUUGGUGAGGUAACGGCUCACCAAGGCGACGAUAUCUAGGGGUACUGAGAGGUUACACCCCCACACUGGUACUGAGACACGGACCAGACUCCUACGGGAGGCAGCAGUAAGGAAUAUUGGACAAUGGUCGCAAGACUGAUCCAGCCAUGCCGCGUGCAGGAUGAAUGCCCUAUGGGUUGUAAACUGCUUUUAUACGGGAAUAAACCCGGGUACGUGUACCCGGCUGAAUGUACCGUAAGAAUAAGGGUCGGCUAACUUCGUGCCAGCCGCCGCGGUAACAC
rnacentral:rRNA from 1 species